GGACGGACCUCUGGAGAGACUCAAAUGAGCACCGAAGGGGAAAACCAAGUUUUUGGUGAAACUCUCAGGUAAAAGGACAGAGCAUUUUUA
rnacentral:ncRNA from 2 species